UACGUAGGGGGCGAGCGUUAAUCGGAAUUACUGGGCGUAAAGCGUGCGCAGGCGGUUCGUUAAGUCAGAUGUGAAAGCCCCGGGCUCAACCUGGGAACUGCAUUUGAAACUGGCGGGCUUGAGUAUGGCAGAGGGGGGUGGAAUUCCGCGUGUAGCAGUGAAAUGCGUAGAGAUGCGGAGGAACACCGAUGGCGAAGGCAGCCCCCUGGGACAAUACUGACGCUCAGGCACGAAAGCGUGGGGAGCAAACAGG
rnacentral:rRNA from 1 species